GACAGAGGGUGCAAACGUUGUUCGGAAUUACUGGGCGUAAAGCGCGUGUAGGCGGCCAUCUAAGUCGGGCGUGAAAUCCCACGGCUCAACCGUGGAAGUGCACUCGAAACUGGAUGGCUAGAGUCCUGGAGAGGAAGGUGGAAUGCUUGGUGUAGAGGUGAAAUUCGUAGAUAUCAAGCGGAACACCUGUGGCGAAAGCGGCGCACUGGACCAUAACUGACGCUGAGGCGCGAAAGCUAGGGGAGCAAACAGG
rnacentral:rRNA from 1 species